AGUCCCUUUGUCCCGUGAUUCCACGUCUCUUAGAGCCGUUCACGUCGGUAUUUUUGCGGUGUCGCUGUCCUCGCUGAGGCCGGUGAAGGGAGGGCCCUGGGCGCACGGAGGGCGUUAAAGGACAGGUGCGGCCCGGGACCCAAGGGGCUCCGUAGAGAGGCCGGGCCUCCGCUCCUCCGCCCGGCCGCUGGGCCCCGCGCUGAGUCGGGGCGGGAAGGGCGCUGCGCGGGGCGUUGGCGUCCUCUGUGCUUACCUGGUCAGAGCCUCCGAGUCACCUUCGAGACUUUUCCCCAGAAGGAGAAGCAGCUCCGCUGUGCGAGUCCCGUUGCUCAGGCCCCGCGCCCUCCGGUCCUCAGGACCUGCGACCCCGCCGUGUGCCUGUCAUGUUUCUGCCUUCCUGAGGAAAAGACAGAGGCAGAAAGGAUGGUGACUGACUGUUUGACUAGUUGUUCUCAGUGAACGGUGGUGGCAAUGUUUCUUUAUUGAAUCCAGCGUGUGUGUGAUGGUUUAGGACUCACUCACCUUCGCUGAUGUGGCUGUGGACUUCACCCAAGAGGAGUGGACUUUACUAGAGCCAACUCAAAAAAAUCUCUACAGAGACGUGAUGCUGGAGACCUACAAGAACCUGAGCACAGUAGGUGACUUUUCCAUUAAUACUUCUUUCCCUGUGAACAGAGUAUCAGUUGUUCAAACCCAGUUUGAUCUCUUGGUUGGAAGAAGAAGAGUUGAGGGCAGUGGAGGGAGGAGUUUUCCAAGAAUGGGAAAUGCAGCCUAAAAGCAAAGACUCAGCAAUUCCACAGCAUAUUUUGGGGGAAAAUACAUCCAAUAGGAUAGAAACGGAAAGAAUCCACAAUGGGUGGGAACUCUGUGAUUGUGAGCAAUGUGGGAAAGUCUUCAGUGAACAUUCAUGUCUUAAGACACACAGGAGAACUCCAAAUGGAGGCAACACUUGUGAGGAUAAUCAGUAUGGAAAAAGCUUCCUUACUCUACACAAGAAAACCUCACCUGGAGAGAAAAUUUCCAUGUUUAAUCUAUGGGGUAAAGCCAUCAGCCCGACUCCAGAUGUUGUGUACUAUAAAACUAACAUGGAAGAGAAAGCCUCCAAAUGCAGUGACAGUGGGAAAGCCUUUGUUAAUCAGUCUUGUUUUCAGGCACCAAUGAGAACUCACAAUGGAGAAAAACUUUCUGAAUGGAAGGAAGAUGAGAGAGCUUUUAUUCAGUCCACAAGCCUUGGUGUGCAUGUACAAACUCACACUACUGUUAACAAUUGUUACAAAUAUAAGGAAUUCGGAAAAUCCUUUAUACAGUCCGCAUAUCUUAACACUAGUGAUAAAAUUCACUCUAGAAUAAAACCGUUUAAAUGUAAGGAAUGUGGGAAAGACUUUUUUCAGUCUUUUCAUCUUACUGACCAUGUGAAAUCACACACUGAAGUGAAGCCCUUUCUUGAUGAGGUAUAUGGAAAUGCCUUUAGAAGUUACUCGUAUCUUUACGUUCCCAAUCAAAUUUAUGCUGGAGUGGAACCGUAUAAAUGUAAGAAGUGUAGAAAAGUCUUUAAACAUUCUUUGCACUUUAAUGUUCACAUGGGAAGUCACACUGAAGAAAAACCUUAUGAAUGUGAAGAAUAUGGGAAAACCUUUGCUCAUUUCUCAGGCCUUACUGAACAUAUAAAAACUGAGGCUGGAGAGAAGACUUUUCAGUAUGACAAAUGUGGGAAAGUCUUUGCUACCUCCUCAAAUCUUACUAAACAUUUAGGAUCUCACGCUGUAGAAAAGCUAUUUGAGUGUAACAUAUGUGGGAAACGAUUUACCAGUUCUUCAUACUUAAUUAUUCAUAAGCGUACUCACCCUGGAGAGAAACCCUAUAAAUGUAAGGAAUGUGGGAAAAGCUUUAACCGCUCUUUCCACCUUAAAGUUCAUAUGCGAACUCACACUGGAGAGAAACCCUAUGCAUGUAAGGAAUGUGGAAAAGCCUUCACUGAUUCCUCAGGCCUUUUUUACCAUAUAAAAACUCAUACUGGAGAGUUGCCCUUUAAAUGUGAUGCAUGUGGGAAAGCCUUUGCUUUUUCCUCACAUCACAACAGACAUUUUAGAACUCACACUGGACAGAAGUCUUUUGAGUGUAAUAUAUGUGGGAAAACAUUUGCUAGUUCUUCAUAUGUUAUUGUUCACAAGCGUAUUCACACUGGAGAGAAACCAUUUAAAUGUGAGAAAUGUGGAAAAGCCUUCACUCAGUCCUCAGGUCUUACUGUUCAUAUAAAAACCCACACAGGAGAGAAGCCUUUUAAGUGCGACACAUGUGGGAAAGCCUUUCCUACUGCUUCACACCUUACUACCCAUUUUAGAACUCACACUGGUGAGAAGCCUUUUGAAUGUAAUAUAUGUGGGAAAACAUUUAACAUUUCUUCGUCCUUUAUCAAUCACAAGCGUACUCAUAAUGGAGAGAAACCAUUUAAAUGUGAGGAAUGUGGAAAAGGCUUUAAACGUUUUGUGCACCUUAACAUUCACAUGCGAACCCACACUGGAGAGAAACCCUAUGAAUGUAAGGAGUGUGGCAAAGCCUUCACUCAGUCCUCAGGCCUUACUGAACAUAUAAAAACUCACACUAAAGAGAAGCCUUUCAAAUGUGACACAUGUGGAAAAACUUUUGCUCUUUCCUCACACCGUAACAGACAUCUUAGAACUCAUACAGGGCAGAAGUCUUUUCAGUGUAAUAUGUGUGGGAAAACAUUUACCAGUUCUUCAUAUAUUUUCAUUCACAAGCGUAUUCAUACUGGAGAGAAACCUUAUAAGUGUAAGGAAUGUGGGAAAGCCUUUAGUUUUUAUAAUUCUUUUCAACGUCAUGAAAGAACUCACCUGGAGAGAAAUCUUGUCAAUGUAAGGCAUGUGGGAAAGCCGUCAGUAGUCCCAGUUCACUUCAAAGACAUGAUAGGACCAUGUUACAGAGAUGCUCUACAAAUGUAAGGAAUGGGUGAAAGCUGUCAGAACCUCAUCACAACUCAGCAUGUGAGGACUCACAGUGAAGCCAUCCUGUUAAGAAUCAUGGGAAGCCCUUUCCUCUUUCCUCAUUGAAAUGUAUUUGUCACAUAUGAGAGAUCUUGUAGUGGAGAGAAAUCCAACUGAUGUAAGAUAUUUUGGAAAAUUGUUCUGCAAAUGUUCACUUGUGUCUCACUUUGGAGAAAAACUUUAUGAAUGUCAGAAGUGUCGAGUCAUCAUCAUUUUCCACGAGAUUGUUUCUCAUCCUUAAUAAACAUGGGGGUGGUUCAUGGUCAAGAGAAACUGAAAUAGGAAGUAUGGGAAAUGCUACCCUGUGUGUGAAUCUUAGCAUCAUCUUAGGUACGUGGUGUUCUGGGUACGUUCUAUGGAUAGACUCUUAGCAUUUUUGCUUAGGCCUUGGCCAUUCCUACGUGUGAUGUGUGUUUUUUGCCACUGAUAGGCCAGUCUAGUUGCUAUACCUUCCAGGUUGCAACCUGGUCAAAAGUAGUUUGACAGGAUUUAUACUUAAUCCUCUUCUAACCACCUGGAUUCUCCUGUUGGAUUGACGUGGUCUGAGUAUUUGAAGAUAGUGAUUGCUUGACUGUGUCCAGUGCUCUCUGUACUCAUUUACAGCAAGCCACAGUGGCCAAGGCAGUGGUUGAAAUACGUCUGUAAAUUUUGUAAAAUUACCUUGUCCCUCUUACACCCGAUCCUUUCAGAUAAAAAGUCAGUGUCAAGCAUGGAGUGAGUGUGAAAAAAGUGAGAUUACACCUACUGAUGUGAGCACUCCAAUUUCAUGACCUUUUUGGAUGAACAACAACCUUACCACCUGGGGAGGGCCUUUAACCUCAAGCCAUACAGGAUGAUGGUUCGUUACUCGAUGCGAAAGAAGGCCCAAUCACCAAAUUGACAGGCUUGUGGCAAGGAAAGAGGUUCAUUAUCAAAAGGCAGCCAGACCAGGAGACGGGAGUUAAAACUCAAAUCCACUUCCUCAAAGUGAAAAAGGGAAGAUUUUAGCUCCUUCAUUCUUGGUUUCAAUCCCCACUAUGUUAUGAUCAUUCCUCAAUCUUGGGGAAUCGGGUUGAAGACUGCUUUAGCUACUUCCUGCUGUGAAAGGGCAAAGAUCAGAGUCAGGUAUGAAACUGUUCCACCUUUAUUUUUAAAUAUUUUUGGGUACUAAGUUGGGGAGAGUGAGGUAUGCUUUACAUGACUAGAAUUUUAGUACUCUAAUGGUUUUGAAACAACACAAGUCCACAUUUUAUAAUUACAUAGAUGACCACACAUAUUAGCAAAAUAGGCAGCUAAAAUUUUAAUAUCCCCUCCAUAAUGGACCUCAAUCUUUGGGAAAUCCAGGAGAAGAGGCCUGUAAACCAGUCAAGUUUGGGGACACUGCCUAUGUUCUAGAGAUGAUCCAAAAGACCCAGAUGGAAUUAAAAUUAAGUAACACCACACAGUCACAUGUUCCUCUGCACCAUCUUUGUCAUGGAGACUGGGUCCUAUUGAAAUCCUCAACUUCAUCUCCACUGGAUAGGACCAUGUGAGAAAUGCCACAGGGAACAGGAACCAUACUGUAGAGAAACAUCACAACCAGUAUCGCCUAAACCUUGGCUGACUUCAUACUCUAGACACUGACUUCUCUGAAUGGACAAAUGAACCCGACAGACCGCAAGUUACUGUGCAGAACACAGUCUCCUAACAAGUAAUGAGUGACUUUCAGGUCCUGACCUUACUUGUUGGACUAUCAGACAACAGGUUGCUUGGCUACUUCAGAACUCAGUCCUGAGGACACAGAAAGAUGUAAGCUAAACGAUGAUGAAUUCAAAUUGGCUAUCAUCAAAAACUCUUAAGAAAAUGAGGAUAGAGGGAAAUUACCUCAACAUAAUAAAGACCAUAUAUGACAAACCCACAUGAAGUCACGAAAGAAGUCUCACUGGUGAGAAACUCUUUCAAUGUAAGGAAUGUGGGAAAGCCUUCAGUUGUCUCUGUUCAGUUCAAGGACAUGAAAGACCUCACAUGGAGAGAAGAUAUCAAUAUAACGAGUGUGGGAAAUCCUUUCAUUGUCCUUAUUUACUUUGAAGUCAUGAACAAACUCAUGCCAGAGAGAAAACCUAUGAAUGUGGAAAUAUUGGCACUAAUACCUCAAGUUUUAAUUAACAUGUAAGAAUUUACAGUGAAGAGAAGCCUUAUGUCUGUAGAGAAUGUGGGAAAGCCUUCAUAAAUCCUCAGGACUUAGCUCACACACCAGAAUUCACACUGGGGAGAUACCAUAUGAAUGUGUGCAGUGUGGGAAGGGCUUCACUCCUUCCUCAAGUCUUAAUGAACAUAUAAGAAUACACAGUGGAGAGAAGCCAUGUUGAUGGUAGGAAUGUUACCAGACACAAAAACAGGCUCGUUUACCCACAUGCAGGAGGGCCAAUUACCCAAAACAUCAGGCUUGUGGCAAGGAAAGUGGCUUAUUAUAGAAAGGCAGCCAGACGAGGAGACGAGAGUUAAAACUCAAAUCCACCUCCCUGAAGGUAAAAAGGUAGGGUUUUUAUCUGAGGUUUUACGUAGGGGAGGGAGAGCACAUGACCUUGCUGGUUGGUGCCUUCCUACCAGCCUGUGUUUGGCCUUGAAGACUGAAUCUCUUUCCCUUGACUGUCUGGACUUUUCUGGUUAGUUUUCUUCUUCAGCCUGUAUUUGGCCUUGUGAAGCUGAAUUGUGUCUGAACUUUAACUUCCUGGGAAAAGCAGCUCACUCAUAUACUAGGGAGGCACAGAGAGACCUGGCUAGUUUUAAACAACAGUUGAUUAUGCUGAGUAUGCACAACUGCAGUUAGCAAAGCUUAUCUCAGUUUUCUUCUAGCCCAGGGACGACUUUUCAACUCCUUUGUUCUCAAGUGCAGGAAUGUGGGAAAGCCUGGAGCUUAUACUUGUCCUUUCUUAGUCAUUUAGGAACUCAUGCUAUAGAGAUAAUUUAUGAGUUAAAGCAAAAAACUUUUCUAAUUCUACAAGAUUUCAUGUGCACAUGCAAACUAACACAGGAUUGAAACCUAAGACUGUAUGGCAUGCCCUGAAUUUUGCAUCUCCAGAAUUCGUAUGUUAAAGCCCUAACCCACAAUACCUCAGAAUGAAUUCACAUUUGGACAUAAGGUUGUUAAAGAGGUGGUUGACUUAAAAUUAGUUCUUUCAUGUGGGGCUUUAAGUCAUUAUCAUCGGUAUCCUAAUAAGAAGUGAAAGAGAUACCAGGGAUGCACGCACAUAGAGAGAGAACCAUGUGAAGACCCCAGAAGAUGGCCAUCUGCAAGCCAAGGAAAGAGGCCUGGAACAGACGCUUCAAUUAAACCCUCCACUGAAACCCAACCCCGUUGGCACCUUCAUUUUGGACUUCUGGCCUCCAGAAUUGUAGGAAAAUAAAU